rnacentral:rRNA from 1 species
CCCUUCGCUACCUAUGGUAGGGGGGAUGCAUGCUUCACAGCACAUAACAAGGGCUGCAGGACCGGAAGGUUUCCCAAUCCCAUAAAUCUGUUCUCAGUUCGGAUCGCAGUCUGCAACUCGACUGCGUGAAGCUGGAAUCGCUAGUAAUCGCGGAUCAGCAUGCCGCGGUGAAUACGUUCCCGGGCCUUGUACACACCGCCCGUCACACCACGAGAGUUUGCAACACCCGAAGUCGGUGAGGUAAC